GGGUCAUUGUUUAAAUAGCCUAAAUUACAAAAUCAACUUAUCAGAAAAUCCAUUCCUUAACACUACCCAAGGCCGAAACCCUCCUGACCCGCGUCUCACUGCCCAAGCCCAACAACCCGCCGACCCGAUCCACCACGCCUUUCUUCUCCAUAAUAACAAUAUCAGCAACCUGACAACAACACACGAUACAACAGCUCAACACAUAAACCCUAGUCCCAAAUUGCAUGUGCCACCUAAUUAUUUUCCUCGCCUUGGCACCUCGUAGUGUGCAAGGAAUGAAGCUCAUACCACAGAGGUUCUAGAACCUACGAUGUGGCGCCUCUUAAUUCCUUUCUCAAAUUUAAUCCAUUCCCAAUUUCAAAUAUUUUCAUCUCAAAUUCAUAUCGUUCUCACACGAUAACUCGUCGUUAAUCCUCAAGGAGGAUUUGGAUUUCUUCUCAGAUGAAUUCCUAGAAAAUCCAUUCAAUUUCCUUAUCCGACAUCCACAAUUUCCCAAGAAUUUGGGGAUUUUGGGUUCUAUAUAAGCCCCAAAAAAGUUAUAAUUCUCUAUGGAUUUUGGACUUCAGUCCCUAGCCAUAGAGUUGUGAGAAUUUUGUUCUCAAUGUGAGGAAAGUGGUGAAGUCGUCGUCAACUUUUCGUCCCGAUUGGCUGCUUCGGAAAAGUCCCACCGAACUCCUAUCCCUUUACAUCUUCCAAUGGGGGCUAAGCCCCGAAUUUGAGUCAAACUUCAUGCCCAAGUCCCAAAGUGGACCAAAACUAUGAAAAAUAAGAUUGUAUACACAGAUAAUAUAGUAGAUAUAGAUGAUAUACAACAAAUGAGAAAGGGAAGCAUAUACACCUGUGGAAGACAAAAUAUGUGACUGAUAUACAUCAUACAUGCGGAUAUACAGCCAUAUACAUUCUGAUAUACAGGAAUAUCACAGCUCAAGCUGCAUACAAGAGUAUACGUUGCAAAAAGGGGUCGGAAUAAGUCCACAAUUUGAAGUCCAAAUCUGAACAUAUUCAAAAUGGGACAGCAAGGGCCCAAAUCUCAACUUUUAUUCCUUUUAUUUCCUUGUUAUUGAUUUGAUUAUUUAUAUGUAAUUUUAUUUAAUUAAUCUCGAAUGAAUCCUCGGGAGCAAGUUCAUAUUCAAGUCAUUCAUUUCA